GCGAAAGGGAGCAGAGAGCUUGGAGAGAAACCUCUUGGAUUUGGUGCUAGAUGAUGGAUCAUUCCAUGGUCUCUGCUCAGAAGAAACUAUGUUCCUCUUGGGGAAGUGAAAUCUCACAUGACUGCGAGCACCAUGCAGCUGUCCCAGGGCCCCUGAUCUGCUCCCCUGGAAGAGCACGGGAGGAGUGCUGGCCUCCUGUGGCAGCAGGGGCACAGGAUGGAGCAGCAGCAUCUGCAGCCCUCCCUGGGGAGCUGCCUGCCAUCAGCAGUAACAGAGAAGAGUCAUUCACCAGUGAGAGUUUCUCUGAGGAGGAGCAGGACUUUUCAGGAACCUGGAAAGAGAUGAUCAAGUUGGGACAGUUCAAGAUCCAAGGGAAUGUACAGUCCAGAAAACAGCUUCUGAAGCCUUGCUACUUUGACUACUGAAAUCUUAAGGUACCUAGAAGCCAAAGCAGUUGGAGAAAUGUUUGGUUAAACUUCAUCUCCCCUAAAAGAAAUCUGAGUCCCAAAA
rnacentral:lncRNA from 1 species